GGUUCAGGGUCAAUACAAUAAAUCCAUUUUCCUCCUGCAGCCAGCGCCUCGUUUUCCGACGCCUGGCUGCAUUCUGGCACCCACACCUCGGCCCGCACCGAGCAUCAUCCAACAAGGACCCAGCCCCACCUAAAGUCCCCGGAGCCCUCCCCCACCGGCCCUUCUCAGGCUGGGGUCCCGGGCCGCCCCGGGCACAGGGAGCGGAGGGCCAGCUUUUGGGGAGUUCCCGGACAUCGCGUUCCCGCCCCCUGGACACUAGCCCAUCCCUGCCUGCAGGUCCGCAAUCCGUGCGGAGGGCCGGCGCUCUCACCUGAGUUGCGAACCCUCCGCACCCGCAAACAAGGAGAGGUGGAAACCGGAAAGUGAGGCGACUGCACAGGCGCAGACGAAAACGCAGGAUAUCCGUUCCCAGCAUGCUGCGCGGUAACCCCUAACCUAAGUUUGACAGGAAGUACGGCGCCAGCUCUCGGUGUUUUUUGUUUUUGUUUUUCCCCCGAGAUUUAAAGAGAAAUAACAUGGACGGUCCUGAUAACUGGAGCCCGGGUUCUGUCAGAGCCCCAGAGGUUGUGUGUUAGACUUGAGGACAUAACAGCAAAUGCAGCGUGUGGUUGCAGAAAGCGAGAGCUGCGGAAGACGUUUGAAAACAAUUGGAAAAUUUGUAUACGGACUGGAAAUUAGAAUUGUGGCAACAUUAGGAUUACGUAGCUGCAGUCACUUUUACUCUCUUUCAGGCACUGAGGCCACUUUUGCUCUUGGAGACAACACAGAAGGGAAGGCAAGUGCUGAGAAGCACUAUUUAGCAACUUCAGUGGUGUAACAAGCCCACCUGCAGAAGCACCUGCCAUGAUCUCAGGCCACUGCAAGUCCCUGACUACCACAACCACCUGCAAGAUGGAGCCCCCUGAGGGGUCACCUAGAUGCCACAUCCUUCCCUGUCCUGGACUGUCUCCAAGAAAUCAGGUGGUACCAGAAAUCCCAGGAGCCUCAAGAGCCCUUUCCAGAUAUGGGUUCAGGAAGUUGCUCAAACACUGUAAUCUGAUCCACUUCUUUAGAUCCUGGCUAUUGAGGCUUUGCUGGCUGCCUGGUUGGUUGGUUUGAAGACAUCAAUCUUUAUGCUCUCCGUGCCAAGCAGUUACCAUCUUGCCCAGGACCCGUGGCUGACAUGGUGCUUCUGGAAGACAAGCACUUGGCCUGCAGUCCCAGCAUCACACAUUAUUCAUCCUCUUAUGGUGAUGAGAACACUCAAUUUUGCUUUUUCCAAGGAUGUUACCAAAGCAUAUGAUGCAAAUGGACAAAUAAGAGGCUGAGUCCCCCACUCUGCAUUAAAAAGAUGUAUAUAUAAAGUAUUAGUGAGGGAAAAAGGUUUGACAGUUUAAACUGUUGGCAACUUAAUGGUUUUUGUUGCAUACUUAUAUAUAAACCUCAAUAUUUGUUUUCCUAUACGUUGUGACUAUUGUCUGUCUUGUCCAGUUCCAGUAAUUUUGAUAUAAAAAGAAAUUAUACUACCAAAUGAAA